rnacentral:lncRNA from 1 species
CCGGUACAGGACCCCCACCUUCGCUCCUGGGAGCCCCGCUGCACCCCAGGAGUUCCAUUCCAGCCUCCCCAGUGCGAGUGCGGCCGAGCGCUGACUUUUGGGGGCUCCCUCCCCCGUCUCACUGGGUCCCUCUGCGGCUCCCCCGCCCGCUGUCCCGGCUCAGACGUGGCUGCACCCCGGAGGGGGGCGCCGGCCGAGACCUGAGACGUGGCGCUCCCUCUCUGCCGGCCUCGGCUUCAUGCUUGAAUUUCAGCCACAUCCCUAAGCUGCCAUCUCAGACCAGAGGAACAGGGAGGGGGGCUUUCUGGAAAGAACAUCACCUGGAAGAAAUCAGGACAUGACUGUGGGCCAUGAGUGACCUUCAAAGGAAAGCCGGGUAUCUGUGGUCUUUAAGAUGUAUCCAUGACAUUUAAAAACUGAAGAAAUGAAAAGAUCAUCUGAUCAGGCCCAUCAGUCUUUUUCCUAAUGCUAAACGUUCGUACAAAGAUGUGAAGUUUGAUGUCUCACUAAGAUUGCCUAGGGCUGCUUUAUUGCUCACCUACUUCAAAGUAUUGGG